UCCCUGGUGGUCCAGUGGUUAAGACAGCACACUUCCAAUGCAGGCGAUGCAGGUUCGAUCCCUGGUCAGGGAA
rnacentral:tRNA from 1 species